rnacentral:misc_RNA from 1 species
AAACUCUAUUAACCAUUAACUGAGUGAGUACUUAACUUCAUUAUUUCAGUAUCGUGUUACUAUUGCUAACAUUACGUCGAUCGCGCUUCCUGUGUUCACUUGAAGAUUACACAAAUCAAGUUUGGCUAAAUUUUAGCUGAAACAACCUAACAAAUUUCUUAUCUGCUGAUAGAUCACUAGAAUAUCUCAGUCAUGGCCCAAGGUUUGAAGGUUUUUGGGACUCACUCAAUCUUGAUUUGAAGUUAUGCGCUACUUCAGGUGGUUGCAUUGUGGUGUCUGGAUCAUAAUAAUUACGUGUGUCGUGUUCUUAAGCAUAGAGACAGACGCAGAGGAGCGACCGAAUGCUUCAUGUAUCAAUAACACAGUAUGCUCUUGUAACGAAGGAUUCAGUGGAAAUGGAAUCAACUGCAGUGAUGUAGACGAGUGUGCGUCAUCAUCUCACCAGUGCAAUAUGUCUGCAAACUGCAUUAAUACUCUUGGUUCCUACAGAUGUAACUGUUCAGCUGGGUUUAUCGCUCAUGACAAUUCUUGUCUUGAUAUCAAUGAGUGUGUGCAAAACUUACAUAGAUGUAAUGCGCAUGCCUCAUGCCUUAACACCGCUGGAUCCUACAAUUGCAGUUGCCACCAAGGAUACGAGGGUGAUGGAUUCAAUUGUAAUAAUAUUGACGCAUGCGCAUUGGAGACUGAUAAGUGUCACUCGAAUGCGACCUGUUUGAAUUAUCAAGGAUCCUUUAAGUGCUCUUGUAAAACAGGAUUUACCGGAAAUGGCUCUAACUGUGAAGAUGUUGACGAGUGCUUGCUGAAUACGGAUGCAGGCUUGACCGGAAAUGAAUCCAACUACACGGAUGUCAACAACAGUCUGACAAAAAUCGAUAGAUGCCACUCCAACGCAACUUGCAUGAACACGCCUGGUUCUUUCCAAUGUACUUGUAGAUCAGGUUAUACAGGUAAUGGUGUUGACUGUACGGAUAUCAACGAAUGUCAACGCGGAGAACAUAAUUGUCAUAUUAAUUCUAUGUGCGUAAACUCAAAUGGUUCGCACAGCUGUAUUUGCUCACCAGGUUAUCAAGGAAACGGCUUGGAUUGUAGUGACAUCAAUGAAUGUACCCAAGACAGUUCUAACUGCGGUGAAAACGCGAACUGUCUGAACACACAAGGGUCUUAUAAAUGUAAAUGCAACGAAGGUUUCUUCGCGUACGGAAAUUCCUGUAAACCCUACGACAACUGUAUGUCAAGCUUGAAUUGUCCCACAAACGCAAAUUGUGCAGAAUUGAACGGAUCCUUCGUGUGCCAGUGUAAAAGUGGAUUCUUUGGAGACGGUUACAAUUGCACAGAUGAAGGCCGAUCUACACUGAAGACAGCGGAAGCAAGGGUCACAAAGGUGCAAGCUCGGCAGCAAGUUAUCAUUGGUUCAGUGUUAGGGGCUGUGGCUUUCAUCAUUGUUGCGGGAUUAAUUGUCCUUUUUGUCAGGUAGGCAGAAUGAUUUUGUCGCAGAGCCAAUUUGGAGCACUUGAGCAAGUUGUCUCGUUUUUGCCGAAAGGGAAUUAAGGUGGAAAAAAGAAAACAAGCCGAUGAUUCGUCAUGCCAGCACGGUCAUGGGCCAUAUUGACGAAAUUAUGAUG